GGUUGUAACACAACUUUUAAUUUAUUACUUAUAUAAAAUGUCUACAGUGUUAUUAUUCUGACAACUAUUAUUACAUUCGCACAGGAGAGGGGCGAGGAUAUCCCACCGACAUCCCCCGUUGAUACCGCAAUACCAUCCCGUCACCCGCACGAGGGUAGUGCCCCGGAGGACGCACCGGCUAGUCCUUCUGUUGCAUUGAUCGAGGGUUCUCCCCGAACACCUUCCCCGGAAGUUCAGGACGAGCGAUUAUGGUUACUUGCUGAUAUCCCGAGCUCGAC